AAAAAGAAAAUGGCAGAUGUGGCGCCCCUGUGACUCUUACUUCUGCAGAGCCCUCAUAUGCACACAUUUGGUGGCAACAGUGAAGUCCGUGGGAAUUGAAUCUCAGCAGGACACAGCUACAUUAACAGAGCUCAUGAGCAAAGGGAACUGCCCUCCUAGGCUUGGCUUGGUGCCCAGAGCUCCAAGGAAAGGUCACCCACUCCUGCUGGCAGGAGGUCUGAGUCAAAUAGCUGUUAAACCAAACAAACUAACACCCACCUCCACUGCUGCCCACGCAGAUAUGACCGAUUCUUUCCUUGAGAGAGAAAAGAAAAGAUCUCUCUUUGUUAUUUGACACUCUGACCUCUGCAGCAUGGAAACUAAAAAUAAUACCCACAGGAGAGUGCUGAAUGUUUAUCCUAUUGUUCUUUGCACUCACAGCUACCUGGGCUAUGCACACCAAGAUGAGAGAGGGAGGAGAAUUAGAGACACGAGCAUAAGGCCAAGGCUGGAGAUCUAGGUUUUCAGAAAUCAAAGCUUACAUUUUUUUUCCUACAAAUCCAUCCACCCAGCCCAUCCCACCCACCUUUCCACAUCUCCACCUAUUCACCCAUCCAUCCAUUCAUCCAUACCUUCAUUCAUGCAUUCAUCUAUCAUCCACCCAUCCUUGUAUCCACUCAUGCAUCUAUCUGCCCAUCCACCCACCCUUCCACCCACCUUUCCAUCCAUCCUUCCAUCCAUCCAUCCACCCGCCCAUCCAUUCAUCCACCCACCCUUCCACUCACCUUUCCAUCCAUCCAUCCACCAGCCCAUCCAC
rnacentral:lncRNA from 1 species